CCUACGGGAGGCAGCAGUGGGGAAUAUUGCACAAUGGGGGGAACCCUGAUGCAGCGACGCCGCGUGAGUGAAGAAGUAUUUCGGUAUGUAAAGCUCUAUCAGCAGGGAAGAAAAUGACGGUACCUGACUAAGAAGCCCCGGCUAACUACGUGCCAGCAGCCGCGGUAAUACGUAGGGGGCAAGCGUUAUCCGGAUUUACUGGGUGUAAAGGGGGCGCGGACGGCUGUGCAAGUAUGGAGUGAAAGGCGGGGGCCCAACCCCCGGACUGCUCUGGAAACUGUAAAGCUGGAGUGCAGGAGAGGUAAGCGGAAUUCCUAGUGUAGCGGUGAAAUGCGUAGAUAUGAGGAGGAAAACCAGUGGCGAAGGCGGCUUACUGGACUGCAACUGACGUUGAGGCUCGAAAGCGUGGGGAGCAAACAGGAUUAGAUACCCUUGUAGUC
rnacentral:rRNA from 1 species